rnacentral:rRNA from 1 species
CCUACGGGUGGCAGCAGUGAGGAAUAUUGGUCAAUGGGCGGGAGCCUGAACCAGCCAAGUCGCGUGAGGGAAGACGGUCCUAUGGAUUGUAAACCUCUUUAGGCGGGGAGCAAUGCCGGGCACGCGUGCCCGGAGGGAGAGUACCCGCAGAAUAAGCAUCGGCUAACUCCGUGCCAGCAGCCGCGGUAAUACGGAGGAUGCGAGCGUUAUCCGGAUUGAUUGGGUUUAAAGGGUGCGUAGGCGGAUUUUUAAGUCAGCGGUAAAAUGUCCGGGCUCAACCCGGGCCGGCCAUGGAAACUGGGGAUCUUGAGUGGGCGAGAAGUAUGCGGAAUGCGUGGUGUAGCGGUGAAAGGCAUAGAUAUCACGCAGAACUCCGAUUGCGAAGGCAGCAUACCGGCGCCCGACUGACGCUGAGGCACGAAAGCGUGGGGAUCGAACAGGAUUAGAUACCCGGGUAGUC